rnacentral:snoRNA from 1 species
AAAAAUGAUGAUUUUAUGCGCAGAAAUAAAAAUCGUACUACAACGUAGAAUGAUGAUACUUAAGGUCAUCCUUGAACUGAUUUUUUUUUU